ACUCCUACGGGAGGCAGCAGUGGGGAAUAUUGCACAAUGGGCGCAAGCCUGAUGCAGCCAUGCCGCGUGUGUGAAGAAGGCCUCGGUUGUAAAGCACUUUCAGUCGUGAGGAAGGUAGUGUAGUUAAUAGCUGCAUUAUUUGACGUUAGCGACAGAAGAAGCACCGGCUAACUCCGUGCCAGCAGCCGCGGUAAUACGGAGGGUGCGAGCGUUAAUCGGAAUUACUGGGCGUAAAGCGCAUGCAGGUGGUUUGUUAAGUCAGAUGUGAAAGCCCGGGGCUCAACCUCGGAAUAGCAUUUGAAACUGGCAGACUAGAGUACUGUAGAGGGGGUAGAAUUUCAGGUGUAGCGGUGAAAUGCGUAGAGAUCUGAAGGAAUACCGGUGGCGAAGGCGGCCCCCUGGACAGAUACUGACACUCAGAUGCGAAAGCGUGGGGAGCAAACAGGAUUAGAU
rnacentral:rRNA from 1 species